rnacentral:rRNA from 1 species
AUUGAACGCUGGCGGCAGGCCUAACACAUGCAAGUCGAGCGAGCGGCGGACGGGUGAGUAAGGUAUGGGGAUCUGCCUGAUGGAGGGGGCUAACUACUGGAAACGGUAGCUACUACCGCUUACGAUCCGAUGAACCCAUAGUGGAUUAGCUAGUAGGGGAGGUAACGGCUCACGUAGGCGACGCGCCCUAGCUGGGCUGAGAGGAUGAUCAGCCACACGGGGACUGAGACACGGCCCAGACUCCUACGGGAGGCAGCAGUGGGGAAUCUUGGACAAUGGGCGCAAGUCUGAUGCAGCAACGCCGCGUGUAUGAAGAAGGUCUUCGGGUUGUAAAGUACUGUCAGUCGGGAGGCGGUACCUAAAGAAGAAGCACCGGCUAACUCCGUGCCAGCAGCCGCGGUAAUAC